UUUUUUUUUUUUUUUUUUUUUUUUUUUUUGCUGGGGGGAAAGUUGUAUCAUGGAAAAAGCCCAUGCAAUCCUGGUCUUAAAUGAUUUGCUUUUAUUUUUUACUCUAAUUUCUAAGUCUCUGUCCUAUGAGCAGCACCCCUUCUUUGGAAACAAAAACAUUUUAGAAGGCUAGCACUGAGAGAUGCUGCAGGAAAAGUAUGUAUCAAACUUAUGUCAAGUUUACAGAAUAAAGACAAUGUGUGUGUCUCAUCUCUUAGUUAUUUUUGAUUUGUUUUUUUCCACCCCUGUUUUGAUUGGUAUUGAAAAUGCAAUGAAUUAUUUACCAUUAAUUGAAUAAACUUAUGCAAGCUAUUUUAUUCUUGUAAUUUUAUAAGACUGGAUUUAUAGAACUGACUUAUAUAAGUAAACUAUCCAGUAGAAUCACUAUUUCAAAACUAACGAAAGAUUGGAAGAAUCUGAUUUGGUGGUUUCGUUUUAAUCAAUAAUGAAUUUGUAGGUUUUCCUCAUACAAUUCAUCCUUGGCUAUAUGGUAAACAGAACUAAGUUGACCAGGUUGCCAUUAAGAAUAGAAACAUAACGAUUUUUACAAUGUUGCAUAGAAUAUAAACAUCAUGAGAUAAGGAAAACAAGCUUUUCACUACUGUAUUUCUAGCACUCCGAACGCUUCCUGACAAAUAUUAAACAUUAAGCUAUUUGCUGAAUAAAUGCACCUAAGUCCAUGAUUCCUCUGACUGAAGAGAUAGCUAAACUAUAAAACGGAACCAAACAAAACCAAAUCACACAAAAUCAAGAACUCCAGAGGCAGAUCCAGAUCACAGAAAUUUGAACAUUUUAGUAGAUUGCCCAGUAAUUUUGGUCAUCAUCUAAUUUCAGUUACCACCAACUAUUAUACAGCUUGGUACCAUGUAGUAGAAUCCAAAAAUAACUUCACAGACAUGUAUCUCACUUAAAAAAAGAAUUUGAUUGUCUUUAAAAGAAGCACAUUCAUUCUGAUUCAUUAAAUUUGUAUAUCACCCUAUCACUGCCCAAUAGUUCCAUUUUAUUAACUUUCUUUAUCUGGCCACUGAAGACAUUUUGGUUUCCAUUUCCUGAAUUUUACAUGCUUAUAACUUAAAAGUUUUGACAGACUCUCAAUUUAUAUGAAGGUUUAAAUUUGAUCCUUAUUUUUCAUUCUUUUGUUUUUAUAUUUCUUACAGGAAA
rnacentral:lncRNA from 1 species